AGUCGAGCGGGGCCCCUUCGGGGUCAGCGGCAGACGGGUGAGUAACGCGUGGGAACGUGCCCUUCGGUUCGGAAUAACUCAGGGAAACUUGAGCUAAUACCGGAUACGCCCUUAUGGGGAGAGGUUGACUGCCGGAUGAUCGGCCCACGUCCGAUUAGCUACUUAGUGAGGUUAUGGCUCAGCAAGGGCACCAACAGUAGCUGGUCUGAAAGGAAGAUCAACCGCACUGGGACCGAAACACGGCCCAAACUCCUACCGGAAGCAGCCGUGGGGAAUAAUGGACGAAGGGGGCAACCCUGAUCCAACCCUGCCCCCUGAAUGAUGACGGCCUUAAGGUUGUAAAACUCUUUUCUCCCGGACUAUAAUGACGGUACCGGAAGAAUAACCCCCGGCUAACUUCCUGCCAACAUCCGCCGUAAUACCAAGGGGGCUAGCGUUGCUCGGAAUCACUGGGCGUAAAGGGGGCGUAAGCGGCUGAUUUACUCCAGGGUGAAACCCCGGGGGUCAACCACGGAAUGGCCCUCGAAAGGGAUUGGCUUGAGACCGGAAUAAGACCGCGAA
rnacentral:rRNA from 1 species